ACUAAGCAGGGGGGUGUGGAGGAGGAGCCGAGUACUGAGGGUUAAUCCUGAAGUUCCUCAAUUGUAUUCAGUCUUGUGUCGAAGGCUGUCAAUUUACCCAUAGGCUAUAAGAAAGCAUGAGACCCUGAGGAGUCUUUUCAAAACGGAGGUGGGUUAGCUAUUUGUCUGUUGACGUUUGGUGAUUGGUAAAUUGACAUGAGCUGUCCUCCCCUCGUUCAGAUGAAUCAUGUCAGAAGUCAGUGGAUGAGCUCCAGGCUAGGAAGCAGCAGGUCAGAGUUUGAGGUUGUCCAGCAGGUCCUGAACAAGGUGACUGCCUGUUUCCAAAUGGCCACCUCUUUCGGAAGCAACUCUGACGGCAGAUUUCUGAGAUGGACGAGACCAGAGCACUGGCUUACAGAAUCUGCACAGGUUUGCAGACAGCUGGUACCUCUGACAAGAGGGAGAAUCUGGACCAGAAAAAUCAAGAACAGUCCUCCUGGUUUUGACCGUUGCCUGUUCUGGACUCUGUACCCGCCUGCCUGACCAUUCUGCCUGCCCGAGUGUCAUGAUAGCAGCUCGGAGGGGGUUUAGCCACAUGAACUUCAUUAAUUCCAUUUAGAUAUAGGAUCCAAAUUCAGUGUGUUUGCCUUGAUGUUCAUGAAACUCCAUGGACCCCUCUUGCACAGUGGAACCCAGAAUGAUAUGCGACCACACUAUUCUGCCAGGGACAUCCAAACCUGAGUGGCCACCGCAAAGCCCAAGGAGCCUGACUCUCUCUGGAAGUUGCAGUUGCCCUGCUUUGGAUAUUUAGCCUUUAUUGACUAUUGGUUGAGAGGCAGGGCCCGUUCUACAGUAGCUUAGUAUGUCAGGGUGGGGCAAGAUUUAUGUUCACUUUUUUCAAUGUUCAAUUGAUUUGAUAACAUGUUUUAUGCAAAUAAAUUAUAUGAAUUGAUAGUU